rnacentral:rRNA from 1 species
UACGGAGGAUGCGAGCGUUAUCCGGAUUUAUUGGGUUUAAAGGGUGCGCAGGCGGCGAGUUAAGUCAGCGGUAAAAUUUCGGGGCUCAACCCCGACAAGCCGUUGAAACUGGCUUGCUAGAGUGGGCGAGAGGUAUGCGGAAUGCGCAGUGUAGCGGUGAAAUGCUUAGAUAUUGCGCAGAACUCCGAUUGCGAAGGCAGCAUACCGGCGGCGAUCUGACGCUGAGGCACGAAAGCGUGGGUAUCGAACAGG